CCUACGGGGUGCUGCAGUGGGGAAUAUUGGACAAUGGGCGAAAGCCUGAUCCAGCCAUGCCGCGUGUGUGAAGAAGGCCUUCGGGUUGUAAAGCACUCUCAGUGGGGAAGAAAGCCUUGGGGCUAAUACCCUCGAGGAAGGACAUCACCCACAGAAGAAGCACCGGCUAACUCCGUGCCAGCAGCCGCGGUAAUACGGAGGGUGCGAGCGUUAAUCGGAAUUACUGGGCGUAAAGCGCGCGUAGGCGGUCUGAUAAGCCGGUUGUGAAAGCCCCGGGCUCAACCUGGGAACGGCAUCCGGAACUGUCAGGCUAGAGUGCAGGAGAGGAAGGUAGAAUUCCCGGUGUAGCGGUGAAAUGCGUAGAGAUCGGGAGGAAUACCAGUGGCGAAGGCGGCCUUCUGGACUGACACUGACGCUGAGGUGCGAAAGCGUGGGUAGCAAACAGGAUUAGAUACCCCGGUAGUC
rnacentral:rRNA from 1 species